rnacentral:rRNA from 1 species
AUUGAACGCUGGCGGAAUGCUUUACACAUGCAAGACGAGCGGCAGCACGGGGGCAACCCUGGUGGCGAGCGGCGAACGGGUGAGUAAUACAUCGGAACAUGCCCAGUCGUGGGGGAUAACACUUCGAAAGAAGUGCUAAUACCGCAUACGUCCUGAGGGAGAAAGCGGGGGAUCGCAAGACCGCGCGCGAUUGGAGUGGCCGAUGUCAGAUUAGCUAGUUGGUGGGGUAAAGGCCUACCAAGGCAACGAUCUGUAGCUGGUCUGAGAGGAUGAUCAGCCACACUGGGACUGAGACACGGCCCAGACUCCUACGGGAGGCAGCAGUGGGGAAUUUUGGACAAUGGGGGCAACCCUGAUCCAGCCAUUCCGCGUGAGUGAAGAAGGCCUUCGGGUUGUAAAGCUCUUUCGGCAGGAACGAAACGGUGAGCUCUAACAUAGCUUGCUAAUGACGGUACCUGAAGAAGAAGCACCGGCUAACUACGUGCCAGCAGCCGCGGUAAAAC